rnacentral:lncRNA from 1 species
GCCAGAUAAAAUGUGGAAAAUAACUCAGCCACAAUUAACAGUUUGAUUUUCCAAUGAAAAAACAAAAACAAAAACAAAACAAAAACUCAGUAUAGCAUGUUUAGCAUUUAUAGACAAGUCACAGUAAAUACUAAAUAUAAGACAAGAAUGGCCAGUCUGUGCAUGUUUUAGUUCAGGUUUAGAAAGCAAAUACAACAAUCAAAAGCAAAAAGGUAAAGCAAUGAACAUGGAGACAGUGUAAACAGAAGCAUACAAGAUUUACUUAUGGUCAGUUGUGAUGCUCCUUCAAAAGCUGGCAGAACAAAAAGCAUAAUGGUUGGCUGGAACAGGUCAGUUACCUUACAUCUGCUAUUAGAAAAACCACAAAUACUAUGGCCAAUUAAACUAACGGUUGUGUUGUUCUUAAAAUUUUAGAUCAGGAAGAAAUUGAUUUAUAGUCACUUUAACUUCAUGAUUUUAGAGUAGGUUAUUUUCAGUACAAAAUCAUUUUGCAAAUCCAAUAAGCCACCAAUAAAUUAGAGUUUUUUUAAGGCUUUUAUACCAAUUUAGUUAAACUAGUCUUGUUUCACAUACACCACCAAUGAAAUGGGAUAUUCCUAUUUACUGAUGUCUGCCACCUGAUACUCUAUUUAAAGCCACAAAAGCUGCACCAUGGGCUCACAGGUGGAAUCUUAAAGGCACAGUAUGAAAAUAAGCCUGUGCAUGCAAAACAGGUCUCAAAGUCAUGCAACAGCACCACUACAACUUGCAAAUAAUGUCAGACUUGAAAUGAAGCUACAUGUCUCACAAGUGGCAACUUUUAAGUAAUCCUGAAAGCAUUAAGAAGCAAUGAAGGCAAAUCUUAUUUUGUAUAACUUGAAUUUAAUUUUCUACUAAUAUUUUACAUGUUUAAGAAAAACAAGCUUUUAUUAAAAUUUGAACAUUCGAGCAAUAUACUUCAUUGACUGAUACAUUAAUUUAAAAAUUCUGAAAAUUGUUCAAGAUAUCAACUUAUACAAAGUCUACCAGGAUAUUAAAGUACUUACACAAA